AGCAUAGCUAGUGGAGAGGUACCUUCACAUUUUUCCUGACCCCUGGUUUCACACUGCAGACCAGUACCCACUAUAUCAGUUCAGCAGAAUAAGAGGCCUAGGCUAGUGACUUAGGAUCCUCCUCAGACUCCAGUAACCGGAUGCAGUAGGACUUGUCAGUACUGUGGCAAGAAUGAUGAGGACCAACCCUACUAUCAUCUCAAUAAUACCUGCUACAUUUAUGGGAGUGUCCAACACUACGUGAGAGAGUGCCCGUGAAAUAAGAAUCAGGUUAGACCUCCUAUCCAGGACAGAGCUUAAAACCUCACUCAGUAGGAUGCUGAAGCUAAUCUGAACAUGAUAUAGGGUAUAUACACUAUCUGUAAUCACUUUGCACAUAUUUUGAUUGAUAUUGGUGCUUCAUAUUCAUUUGUCUCACAUGUUUGUACAUCAAACUUGAAUGUAUCACCUAAAAGACUUAAUUCUGUGUUGUUUGUGUCUACUCCUCAAAGUAGAACACUAUUAAAAGAGGUUAUAAACAAAGCUUGUAUCACAGACAUAGCAGAUAGAAAAUUGAGUGUGGAGUUGAUAGAGAUUAGCAC
rnacentral:lncRNA from 1 species